UACGUAGGGUGCGAGCGUUAAUCGGAAUUACUGGGCGUAAAGCGUGCGCAGGCGGUUUUGUAAGUUUGUCGUGAAAGCCCCGGGCUCAACCUGGGGAAUUGCGAUGAAGACUGCAAGGCUUGAAUCUGGCAGAGGGGGGUAGAAUUCCACGUGUAGCAGUGAAAUGCGUAGAGAUGUGGAGGAACACCGAUGGCGAAGGCAGCCCCCUGGGUCAAGAUUGACGCUCAUGCACGAAAGCGUGGGGAGCAAACAGG
rnacentral:rRNA from 1 species